GACGAACGCUGGCGGCGUGCUUAACACAUGCAAGUCGAACGGUGAAGCUCCAGCUUGCUGGAGUGGAUCAGUGGCGAACGGGUGAGUAACACGUGAGCAACCUGCCCCUGACUCUGGAAUAAGCGCUGGAAACGGCGUCUAAUACUGGAUACGAGAAGGGUCCGCAUGGGCACUUUCUGGAAAGUUUUUCGGUUGGGGAUGGGCUCGCGGCCUAUCAGCUUGUUGGUGAGGUAAUGGCUCACCAAGGCGACGACGGGUAGCCGGCCUGAGAGGGCGACCGGCCACACUGGGACUGAGAUACGGCCCAGACUCCUACGGGAGGCAGCAGUGGGGAAUAUUGCACAAUGGGCGAAAGCCUGAUGCAGCGACGCCGCGUGAGGGAUGACGGCCUUCGGGUUGUAAACCUCUUUCAGCAGGGAAGAAGCGAAAGUGACGGUACCUGCAGAAGAAGCACCGGCUAACUACGUG
rnacentral:rRNA from 1 species